UACGAGGGGGGGCAAGCGUUGCUCGGAUUGACUGGGCGUAAAGGGCGCGUAGGCGGAUAGUACAGUCAGGCGUGAAAUUCCUGGGGCUCAACCUGGGGGGCUGCGUUUUGAUACGUAUUGUCUGGAGUUCGGAAGAGGGUCGUGGAAUUCCCCAGUGUAGAGGUGAAAUUCGUAGAUAUUGGGGAAGAACACCGGUGGCGAAGGCGGCGACCUGGUCCGAUACUGACGCUGAGGCGCGAAAGCGUGGGGAGCAAACAGG
rnacentral:rRNA from 1 species